AAGAGAGCUAUCCGUCGACAGUCAAGUUAAUACCAAUUGUAAUACUGUCAUGGAAUUGCUCUCUUUG
rnacentral:pre_miRNA from 1 species